AGCGAGACAAAGCAAAGUCCACCCCAGCCCACUGCACUGAAGUCUGAUCAGACCCAGCUUUAGGAUGUGAUCAGUGGUAGUAAAGCAAAGGAGAAGAGAAACGGCCAUGUCAAAUUUCAUCCUGUGAGAAGAGCUGUAAACAAAAAGAUGUAGUUCAUACUCUAGCUUAUGACUUCUCAAGGCAGGACCCCAUAAGGAAAACCAUUGCCUCACGGUCUGCUACCAUAAAGCCCCAUCAGAAGCUCUGCUACAUCUGUGGUGACCGUUGUUUCAGGCACUCUAUCUGCCUCCUUGACUGGACUGUGAGCUCGUUGAAGGCAAGGGAAUGUUCUAGAACUUAGGUCUGCAUCCCCAGCAUUUAGACUUAUGACUGACACACACUCAAUCCCAAAGAAUGCGUAUUGAUUGCAUGAAUAAUGCGUAGUGCUGGUCCUCAUUUUCCUCUGACACCAUAAUUUUACAGAAAGAUUUAUAUGAAAAUCCCUUUACUGUAUGAACAAUACUAAAUGUAAGUACCUCGUAUGAUUACUGGUAUUACAGUUCCAAUAAUAGUAUCAGAUAUGUAUUAUUCCUUUGGGGAUUUGACAUUUAAAUUUUUUUAAACAAAAACCAUUAUUAUAAUAGAAUGCUCUUUU